rnacentral:lncRNA from 1 species
CGGGAGGCACCGUGUGGUGGCUGUGCCAGGGCCCGGCGCGGCUCUGCAGGCCCCCAGAGCUCCUCGCAAUGCAGCUCCGUCCUGCAGAGCGGAGCCCGCGGUAUCCUCCUUGUCCUCGGCUGUCUCCCCUCGGUGGUGCGUGCCGUGAGUCACGAGGAGCCUGGUGCCGCUCCAAACGCGUGUCAGCCCCGGCCUAGUGAGAGGUUCAUAGCAGGCACAGGCAAAUGGGUGGAGUUGGUAGCUGUCUGAAGUAGCCAAGAUCUUCAGUUGAUAUCGUUAAUUAUCAUGUGAUGGUGCCAAAGUUUGCGAGGCUCCGUGCAGCACAGAACAAAAUGACAUAUUCCCUGCCCCAAGGAGUUUACAAUCUAAAGUGGAUCUGACAACACGAGGGUGUGACAGGACACCACGAGGCUGCAGCAACAGGAUCAUGCUGUUGAGGUCUCAACUUACUCCAGCACUACAGAUGAGAGAAAGCGACAGCUCCAGAGGCCUCUUGGGAUGGCAGGAUGGAUCUGACAAAGCAAGGUGUGACAGAAUGCCACAAGGUUGCAGCAACAGAAUCCUAGGAUCCAGUGACCAGAUAAAGAGUGCAACAGUGUGAAAAGGAAUGACUAGUUCGUUGUUGAUACGAAAGGGAGCUUUAAUCUUUUAUGAGAACAUCUUGGCAGUGGGUAUGCUUACCUCUUCAAAGUGAGCUAGAAUUCUUCAGUGGGCAAUGUAUGAAUAUUAUCUGAGGCACUGUUGAAAGUAAAAGUAACUGAGCAAGGAAGUAGUUACAUGUUCUUCUUCUAUGUCCAGGACCUUUAUCAGCAACUUUUCAAACAAAUUAUUAGACCGUAUGGAACCUGAUAGUAUUUCAGAAAACAUAACUAUUCAUUUAUUAGUUGAGCAUUUAUCUGCUUCUGUUAUGGAAAUGAAAACACCAUUGCUACAAAUAAGCUAAAAGGAGAACUUGGCUCAUUUUUUCAUAAAUAUUCCUAAAGAGGGGAUUUUAUGAUCAAAACAAGUGUCACUGUGACCUCAGUUAUGUUGUCACAUUCUAAGGCCAUUUCCAUUUGCCUUGCCGUUCAAUUCAUGUUUCCAUUUAAAGAUCAGCAGUGUGAC